GCCUCUGUGGUGUAGUUGGUUAUCACGUGAGUCUCAUAUUCAUGUCCUAUUACAAUAUGAUAGGUAGUAAACUACUUAGCGAUCUCAAGGUCGCCAGUUCGAUCCUGGCCGGGGGCA
rnacentral:tRNA from 1 species